UGGGGGAUAUUGCACAAUGGGCGAAAGCCUGAUGCAGCGACGCCGCGUGGGGGAUGAAGGCCUUCGGGUUGUAAACUUCUUUUGCUCUGAACAAGGCGCACCAUGGGGUGUGUUGAGUGUAGGGGUUGAUUAGCGCCGGCUAACUACGUGCCAGCAGCCGCGGUAAUACGUAGGGCGCGAGCGUUGUCCGGAAUUAUUGGGCGUAAAGGGCUUGUAGGUGGCUGGUUGCGUCUGUCGUGAAAGCUCAUGGCUUAACUGUGGGUUUGCGGUGGGUACGGGCUGGCUUGAGUGCAGUAGGGGAGGCUGGAAUUCCUGGUGUAGCGGUGGAAUGCGCAGAUAUCAGGAGGAGUACCGGUGGCGAAGGCGGGUCUCUGGGCUGUUACUGACACUGAGGAGCGAAAGCAUGGGGAGCGAACAGG
rnacentral:rRNA from 1 species